rnacentral:rRNA from 1 species
AUUGAACGCUGGCGGCAGGCCUAACACAUGCAAGUCGAACGAGUGGCGGACGGGUGAGUAAUGUCUGGGAAACCGACCGAUGGAGGGGGAGAACAACUGGAAACGGUAGCUAAUACCGCAUAUCAUCGGAUGUGCCCAGAUGGGAUUAGCUAGUAGGUGGGGUAACGGCUCACCCAGGCGACGAUCCCUAGCUGGUCUUAGAGGAUGACCAGCCACACUGGAACUGAUACACGGUCCAGACUCCUACGGUAUGCAGCAGUGGGGAAUAUUGCACAAGGGGCGAAAGCCUGAUGCAGCCAUGCCGCGUGUAUGAAGAAGUCCUUCGGGUUUUAAAGUACUUUCAGCGAGGAGGCGUUACUCGCAGAAGAAGCACCGGCUAACUCCGUGCCAGCAGCCGCGGUAAUAC